rnacentral:rRNA from 1 species
AGAGUUUGAUCCUGGCUCAGAGUGAACGCUGGCGGCGUGCCUAACACAUGCAAGUCGAACGAUGAUGGAGGAGCUUGCUCUUCCUGAUUAGUGGCGCACGGGUGAGUAAUGCAUAGAUAAUGUGCCCCUUAGUUCGGGAUAGCCACUGGAAACGGUGAUUAAUACCGGAUACUCCUUCUUAUCAUAAGGUAAGUCGGGAAAGUUUUUCGCUAAGGGAUCAGUCUAUGUUCCAUCAGCUAGUUGGUGAGGUAAUGGCUCACCAAGGCAAUGACGGAUAUCUGGUUUGAGAGGAUGAUCAGACACACUGGAACUGAGACACGGUCCAGACUCCUACGGGAGGCAGUAGUGAGGAAUAUUGCACAAUGGAGGAAACUCUGAUGCAGCAACGCCGCGUGGAGGAUGACGCAUUUCGGUGUGUAAACUCCUUUUAUUAGGGAAGAUUAUGACGGUACCUAAUGAAUAAGCACCGGCUAACUCCGUGCCAGCAGCCGCGGUAAUACGGAGGGUGCAAGCGUUACUCGGAAUCACUGGGCGUAAAGGGUGCGUAGGCUGGCUUUUAAGUCAGACGUGAAAUCCAAUGGCUUAACCAUUGAACUGCGUUUGAAACUGAGAGCCUAGAGUUCAGAAGGGGCAGAUGGAAUUAGUGGUGUAGGGGUAAAAUCCGUAGAUAUCACUAGGAAUAUCAAAAGCGAAGGCGAUCUGCUGGGAUGAUACUGACGCUGAGGCACGAAAGCGUGGGGAGCAAACAGGAUUAGAUACCCUGGUAGUGCACGCCCUAAACGAUGAAUGCUAGUCGUCGGGGAGCUCGUCUCUUCGGUGAUGCACUUAACAGAUUAAGCAUUCCGCCUGGGGGAGUACGGUCGCAAGAUUAAAACUCCAAGGAAUUAGACGGGGACCCGCACAAGUGGUGGAGCAUGUGGUUUAAUUCGAAGAUACACGAAGAACCCUUACCUGGCCUUGACAUGGUAGGAACCCUUCGCAAGGAGGAGGAAGGUGAGGACGACGUCAAGUCAUCAUGGCCCUUACGGCCAGGGCUACACACGUGCUACAAUGGGGCGUACAGAGAGCUGCAAUACCGCGAGGUGGAGCCAAUCUCUUAAAGCGUCUCUCAGUUCGGAUUGUUCUCUGCAACUCGAGAACAUGAAGCUGGAAUCACUAGUAAUCGCAGAUCAGCUAUGCUGCGGUGAAUACGUCCCCGGGUCUUGUACUCACCGCCCGUCACACCAUGGGAGUUGAUUUCACCCGAAAUCGGGAUGCCAAACUGGCUACCGCUUACGGUGGAAUUAGCGACUGGGGUGCACUCUAACGAGACUGCCUUCGCAAGGAGGAGGAAGGUGAGGACGACGUCAAGUCAUCAUGGCCCUUACGGCCAGGGCUACACACGUGCUACAAUGGGGCGUACAGAGAGCUGCAAUACCGCGAGGUGGAGCCAAUCUCUUAAAGCGUCUCUCAGUUCGGAUUGUUCUCUGCAACUCGAGAACAUGAAGCUGGAAUCACUAGUAAUCGCAGAUCAGCUAUGCUGCGGUGAAUACGUCCCCGGGUCUUGUACUCACCGCCCGUCACACCAUGGGAGUUGAUUUCACCCGAAAUCGGGAUGCCAAACUGGCUACCGCUUACGGUGGAAUUAGCGACUGGGGUGAAGUCGUAACAAGGUAACC